GCCGGAGUAGCUCAGUGGCAGAGCAACUGUUUCGUAAACAGUGGGCCGUGAGUUCGAUUCUCACCUUCGGCU
rnacentral:tRNA from 1 species